GUCUACAGCCUUGCCACCCUGAACGUGCCCGAUCUCGUCUGAUCUCAGAAGCUAAGCAGGGUUGAGUUAGUACUUGGAUGAGAGACCACUUAGGAAUACCAGGUGCUGUAGGCG
rnacentral:rRNA from 1 species